CCAAGAUGACCCGGUCCAGACUGAAACAGGCUGUACAGCAGGGACAGCGCCUGAACUGGGGCCUUCCAGCUGUGAGCGCGCUGAAGCCGCCUCAGUUCGUUGACAUCGAU